rnacentral:rRNA from 1 species
GAUGAACGCUGGCGGCGUGCCUAAUACAUGCAAGUCGAGCGAACGGACGAGAAGCUUGCUUCUCUGAUGUUAGCGGCGGACGGGUGAGUAACACGUGGAUAACCUACCUAUAAGACUGGGAUAACUUCGGGAAACCGGAGCUAAUACCGGAUAAUAUUUUGAACCGCAUGGUUCAAAAGUGAAAGACGGUCUUGCUGUCACUUAUAGAUGGAUCCGCGCUGCAUUAGCUAGUUGGUAAGGUAACGGCUUACCAAGGCAACGAUGCAUAGCCGACCUGAGAGGGGGAUCGGCCAACCUGGAACUGAGACACGGUCCAGACUCCUACGGGAGGCAGCAGUAGGGAAUCUUCCGCAAUGGGCGAAAGCCUGACGGAGCAACGCCGCGUGAGUGAUGAAGGUCUUCGGAUCGUAAAACUCUGUUAUUAGGGAAGAACAUAUGUGUAAGUAACUGUGCACAUCUUGACGGUACCUAAUCAGAAAGCCACGGCUAACUACGUG